rnacentral:rRNA from 1 species
AGUGAACGCUGGCGGUAGGCCUAACACAUGCAAGUCGAACGGCAGCACAGUAAGAGCUUGCUCUUACGGGUGGCGAGUGGCGGACGGGUGAGGAAUACAUCGGAAUCUACUUUUUCGUGGGGGAUAACGUAGGGAAACUUACGCUAAUACCGCAUACGACCUACGGGUGAAAGCAGGGGAUCUUCGGACCUUGCGCGAUUGAAUGAGCCGAUGUCGGAUUAGCUAGUUGGCGGGGUAAAGGCCCACCACGGCGACGAUCCGUAGCUGGUCUGAGAGGAUGAUCAGCCACACUGGAACUGAGACACGGUCCAGACUCCUACGGGAGGCAGCAGUGGGGAAUAUUGGACAAUGGGCGCAAGCCUGAUCCAGCCAUACCGCGUGGGUGAAGAAGGCCUUCGGGUUGUAAAGCCCUUUUGUUGGGAAAGAAAAGCAGCAGGUUAAUACCCCGCUGUUCUGACGGUACCCAAAGAAUAAGCACCGGCUAACUUCGCG